UACGUAGGCAGCGAGCGUUGUUCGGAGUUACUGGGCGUAAAGCGUGCGUAGGCGGUUUUGUAAGUUUGGUGUGAAAUCUCCCGGCUCAACUGGGAGGGUGCGCCGAAAACUGCAAGGCUGGAGUGUGGGAGAGGUAGGCGGAAUUCCUAGUGUAGAGGUGAAAUUCGUAGAUAUUAGGAAGAACACCAGUGGCGAAGGCGGCUCACUGGCUCGGUACUGACGCUGAGGCGCGAAAGCGUGGGGAGCAAACAGG
rnacentral:rRNA from 1 species